AUUGAACGCUGGCGGCAUGCCUUACACAUGCAAGUCGAACGGUAACAGGUCUUCGGAUGCUGACGAGUGGCGAACGGGUGAGUAAUACAUCGGAACGUGCCCGAGAGUGGGGGAUAACGAAGCGAAAGCUUUGCUAAUACCGCAUACGAUCUCAGGAUGAAAGCAGGGGACCGCAAGGCCUUGCGCUCACGGAGCGGCCGAUGGCAGAUUAGGUAGUUGGUGGGAUAAAAGCUUACCAAGCCGACGAUCUGUAGCUGGUCUGAGAGGACGACCAGCCACGCGGGGACUGAGACACGGCCUGAACGCCUACGGGAGGCAGCAGUGGGGAAUGUUGGGCAAUGGGCGCAAGCCUGAUCCAGCCAUGCCGCGUGCAGGAUGAAGGCCUUCGGGUUGUAAACUGCUUUUGUACGGAACGAAAAGACUCCUUCUAAUAAAGGGGGUCCAUGACGGUACCGUAAGAAUAAGCACCGGCUAACUACGUGCCAGCCGCCGCCGUAACAC
rnacentral:rRNA from 1 species